rnacentral:rRNA from 1 species
CUACGGGGUGCUGCAGUGAGGAAUAUUGCACAAUGGGGGAAACCCUGAUGCAGCAACGCCGCGUGGAGGAUGACGCAUUUCGGUGUGUAAACUCCUUUUAUCAGAGAAGAAAAUGACGGUAUCUGAUGAAUAAGCUCCGGCUAACUCCGUGCCAGCAGCCGCGGUAAUACGGAGGGAGCAAGCGUUAUUCGGAAUCACUGGGCGUAAAGGACGCGUAGGCGAGUUUUUAAGUCAGGUGUGAAAUCCUAUGGCUCAACCAUAGAACUGCACUUGAAACUGGGGACCUAGAGUAUGGAAGGGGCAGGUGGAAUUAGUGGUGUAGGGGUAAAAUCCGUAGAUAUCACUAGGAAUACCGAAAGCGAAGGCGACCUGCUGGGACAUUACUGACGCUGAGGCGUGAAAGCGUGGGGGGCGAACAGGAUUAGAUACCCCAGUAGUC